AGGACGAACGCUGGCGGCGUGCUUAACACAUGCAAGUCGAGCGAAGUCCAACCGGUGGCAACACCGGGGAAGGCUUAGCGGCGAACGGGUGAGUAACACGUGAGCAACCUGUCCCGAAGACUGGGAUAACACCGGGAAACCGGUGCUAAUACCGGAUACCCCCAUCGGACCGCAUGAUCUGAUGAGGAAAUGAAUUUCGCUUCGGGAGGGGCUCGCGGGCUAUCAGCUUGUUGGUGGGGUAACGGCCUACCAAGGCGACGACGGCUAGCUGGUCUGAGAGGACGACCAGCCACACUGGGACUGAGACACGGCCCAGACUCCUACGGGAGGCAGCAGUGGGGAAUCUUGCGCAAUGGGCGAAAGCCUGAUGCAGCGACGCCGCGUGAGGGAUGAAGGCCUUCGGGUCGUAAACCUCUUUCGGCAGGGACGAAGCGAUCAGUGACGGUACCUGCAGAAGAAGCCCCGGCUAACUACGUGCCAGCAGCCGC
rnacentral:rRNA from 1 species